AUUAAUAUGGCAGAAAAAUGCAAUGAACUUAAAAUUCAAUAAUAUUCUAAAAAAUUAUUAAUA
rnacentral:tRNA from 1 species